AACGAACGCUGGCGGCAUGCCUAACACAUGCAAGUCGAACGAUGCCUUCGGGCCUAGUGGCGCACGGGUGCGUAACGCGUGGGAAUCUGCCUUUCGGUUCGGAAUAACUCAGGGAAACUUGGGCUAAUACCGGAUAACGUCGCAAGACCAAAGAUUUAUCACCGAAAGAUGAGCCCGCGUAGGAUUAGCUAGUUGGUGAGGUAAAGGCUCACCAAGGCGACGAUCCUUAGCUGGUCUGAGAGGAUGAUCAGCCACACUGGGACUGAGACACGGCCCAGACUCCUACGGGAGGCAGCAGUGGGGAAUAUUGGACAAUGGGCGAAAGCCUGAUCCAGCAAUGCCGCGUGAGUGAUGAAGGCCUUAGGGUUGUAAAGCUCUUUUACCCGGGAAGAUAAUGACGGUACCGGGAGAAUAAGCCCCGGCUAACUCCGUG
rnacentral:rRNA from 1 species